UUAACUAUUAUAUAGUACUCAGACAAUACAAAAUCAAGAGUUUAGGGUCCUCUGGCAGGCACUGACCAGCUGAUGCCGGCAGUCAAAAGACAGGCCUGCCAAAGCAACAAAGGUAAUUGUAAACAAAGGGUGGAGAUCUACCCCAAGGGGCAAGUUCUCUGUAAUGAUCCUUCCGCAGGUUCACCUACGGAAA
rnacentral:misc_RNA from 1 species